CAGGAAAGUGCAUGGUGCAUAUGUUUGGAGCCUGCUUGUGGGAUUGCGUGUGUGUAGAGUGUGGUGUGGUAUUGUGUAAAUAGAUCAAUUUCAUUUGUGUUUGUGGUGUAAUAUGUGUGGCUAGGGGCUGUAGAGAGUGUGUGUAUAGGGGGCAUAGUUUUAUAGGGGAUGCAGCGAGUGUGUGCAUAUGGGCUGAAGUGUGUGUGUAUAGGUGACGUAGUGUGUGUAGGGGUUGCAGAGAGGGUGUGUUUAGAGAAUGUUGUAUGUGUUUGCUGACAAGGAAUGUAGUGUGUGUGUGUAGGAGAUCUACAGUGUAAAGGACCCAGUGUGUGUGUGUGUGUGUGUGUAUAGAGGAUAAAGAGUGCAUAUAGAGUAAGGGAUCUAGUGUGUAUCUGGAGCGUAAUGUGUGUAGUGGUGCAGUGUGAGGGGUGCUGUAGUGUGUGUGUGUGUGUGUGUGUGUGUAUGUAUAUAUAUAUUU